GACGAACGCUGGCGGCGUGCCUAAUACAUGCAAGUAGAACGCACAGUUUAUACCGUAGCUUGCUACACCAUAGACUGUGAGUUGCGAACGGGUGAGUAACGCGUAUGUAACCUGCCUUGUAGCGUGGGAUAACUAUUGUAAACGUUAUCUAAUACCGCAUCUUAUUGUUUAUGGCAUGAUACUUAAUUCAAAGUUGCAAUUGCACCACUACUAUCUGGUCCUGCUUUGUAUUAGCUAGUGGGUGAGGUAACGGCUCACCUAGGCGACGAUACAUAGCCGACCUGAGAAGGUGGACGGCCAACAUGGGAAUGAGACAAGGCUCAGAAUUCUAAGGGAGGCAGCAGUAGGGAAUCUUUGGAAAUAGAGGACAGUCUGAACGAGCACAGACGGGUGAGUGAAGAAGGUUUUCGGAUCGUAAAGCUCUGUUGUAAGAGAAGAAAGGGUGUGAGAGUGGAAAGUUCACACUGUGACGGUAUCUUAACAGAAAGGGACGGCUAACUACGUG
rnacentral:rRNA from 1 species